CCGCCUUCGGAGCUUAGACAUUACCUGGCACUUCAGCUGUUUACACUUAGGCGUUUGCUUUUUUAACUCCAGUUGUUACAAAGUGACAGCUCCACUUCCUACAGCACUUAAACUGAAAUCUGACAGACUUUAUGUUAUUACACUUCUGCUCAUUAGCAGCUCUGAUAGUGUAAAGGUAUUCACUUCUUGAGAGUCUCUGAGUGCUGUGGUGUUUUAUAAGGGCAAACUGCCGUCCUGGAGGCAUCUUCUGUAGCAGGAGCUAUACCACAAAGGCAGUUUUGUGAUUUUUGUCUGUAUGCAGGUUGUUAAAGUGGUGCAAGAUGCCAUCAUAAGUCUUUGACCUUCUGAUCUACACAUCUGUAAAAUUGGAAACAUCAGAAGCUUUUAACCGAAUUUUUUCUUUUUUUUUGGCAGCAGAUGUUCCUCUCCACCCUGCCCAUCGUUGCGGGUGCCUGAGUGACGGAGAGGCCGCCCAUCAAAAUGCCAUCAGGACCCUGCUGGCCACCAGAUGAACGCAUGCCCAGAAUGCAUCAUGUGGGGGCUGUUAAGUCCCAUUUACCUCUUCCUCCCGUCUGCCACUUCCCUUUACCAUCAGCUUGUGUCCUCGUAACUCUCCAUCACCGAAGCAGACAUAACAAAGCAUUCAGCGACACUUUUUCUGGUUUGUGCUGACAAACCAACUUAACAAAAGAUGAGUCUCGACCCCUGGCUGGCUCAGUAUAAAAGACCGCGGCAGACGGAGGUGUGGGCAUGUGAAUAAAUCGAUUAGCAGAGCGCUUGACGGAUGGGAUUUACAGGAGGUCUCGACGCACCAGAGAAUUAAUUUUGCUGGGAGAACAUGGUUCUGCCAGGUUCAUUCGUCUUGGCGGGGAAUUUGGCAGUUUCCCCAGGUCUGGGGGCUCAAUUAACGAACGGCUGCAGCGGUUUGGGGAGGAAACAGCUUUGUUGAGGAAUAUGCCACAUCCAUGUGUCAGGCACAUUUUAAUGAUAACGGAUUUUAGGAAUGCAAAAUGAGAAAGGGAAAGGGGAGGUUAGGUGGGUGAGGUUAAGCUUUCAAUGCUGGAUUGGUGGGGGAUGGGGUUUUAAGAGGAACACCAGGACAAAGAGACAGGUAAAAACAUCUUGUGGAGCACGACGUGUACGUGUUAUUAAACAACUGACUAAUAUACACAGCAUUACACCAUGGACCCAACAAAUACACUGUACUGCAAAAAGCAUUUGCUUGUCUGCCUUCACAUAUGAACUUGAGUGACAUCCCAUUCUUAUUCAAUGGGUUUAAUGUGAUGACAGCCCACCGUUUGCAGCUAUAGCAGGUUCAGUUCUCUGGGAUGGCUUUCCCUGAAGGUUCCCUGAGGUUUAGGAGUGUGUUUAUGGGAAUUUUAGGAGCAUAUUUGUGAGGUCAGACACUGAUGAUGACCGUGAUGAAAGCCUGGCUCGCAGUCACAGCUCUAAUUCAUCGCAAAAGUUGUUCUAUCAGGUUGAGGUCAGGACUCUGUGCAGACCCGUCAAGUUCUUCCACACCAGACUCACUCAUCCAUGUCUUUAUGGGCCUUGCUUUGUGCACUGGUGAGAAGGGGCCAUCCCCAAACUGUUCUCACAAAGUUGGGAGCAUCAAAUUAUCCAAAGUCUCUUGUUAUGCUGAAGCAUUAAGAAUUCCUUUCACUGGAACUUCCAACCCCAACUCCUGAAAAACAACCCCAUGCUAUAUAAAUGCGCCUCAGCAUCUGCUGACCCCGCUUUUACGUGGCCUGCCACAUUGUGGCUGAGUUGCUGUCAUUGCCAAUUGUUUCCACUUUGUUAUAAUACCACUAAGAGCUGACUGUGGAAUAUUUAGCAGUGAGGAAAUUUCAGGAAUGGACUUGUUGCACAGGUGGCAUCUCAUCAAAGGACCACUCUGGAAUUUAGUGAGCUCCUGAGAGUAACCCAUUCUCUCACAAGUGUUUGUAGAAGCAGUCUGCACGUCUCUGUACUUGAUUUUAUGCACCUGUGACCAUGGAAGUGAUUGAAACACCUAAAUUAUGUGAUUUGGAUGGGUGAGUGAAUACUUCUAGCAAUAUAGCAUAUAAGGCCAAUAUUCAUUUUACUUUUGAUGCUGUCUCCACCACCUCUACACUCAUACAGCAUGUCAGUCGCAGAGUAGUUCACUGUAAAGCAUCCAAUGUUUUUUCAUCCUUUGCUGUAAAUGAGAAGAUGGAAAUGAAGAUUUAAGCAACUUAAAGCAACAGAUAUUUUUUUCCUUCAUCUUUUGUAUACAGAGUUAUUUACGCAGUAAUUUUAUCAGCUUUGUCUUUCAAAAAAAAAAGGUUUUCCAUAUGAAAUUUGCACAAAUAUGUUCCUUUAACAGGAUGUGGUCUGUCCAUUUCAAGAUGAGUAUUUUCAGUGCAGUGCAUGGGCUCUGCAGAGUAGCUUUGGAUGAUUAAAAGGUCAAAAUAUUCUUCAUUCACUGGGCCUUCAGUUAAUCCACUGUCUAAAACAAGCGGUUUUAACACCUCUGCCUUAAGCCAACUUUCUUCUGACUGGAGGAGUUAAUUGAAAAGGCCGCUGUGGUGACCAAACCAGCAUGCUUUAGUUGACCAGACUGGGAAUAUCUGCUGUCUUUGACAUCAUACAGAUAUCCAAAACCAAGCUUCUAAAGCAGCCUCAGAUAGCCUCAAAGGGAUUCUUUUUAUUAUUUGAAGCCGAGUUUGAACAUGUUUAUGCAUUCACUAUUGUUAAAGUAUAAGUAAAUAUAUGACUAAAACUAAGGAUAAAUAUGAUGGGCCUGCUUUAAAUUCUUAAGUACCUUUCUUUGGAAGUAAAAGGCAGGUGAAUCUAGACUUCCACAGACUGAGCAUUAAUGCAGAGUUGCUUGUUGUGUUGAAGCAUCUUUGCACUCACUCUUCCCUUCCCACUAUCUCAGGUUCCGAUCCCUCAACCUGAACAUUUCAGUGGAUGAUUUAUGUAGUAGUGUUGCUCUGUGACCUCAAAAUCCGCCCCAUCCAUACCGCACCUGUCACUGCGCCACUGCCUGCAUGCUUACUGAAAAGCAAGCCAUCCAUGCAAAAUGGCAAUUUUCUACUCACCUAGAGAAUAAAAAAAAGGAUCCAAUCCAUUCAGAGGCAAAACAAGGAAAAUUCUAUGAUAUAUAGAGCAGGUGCGCGAGGCCUCGGCCCACUGCUAACGAGGGAGCUGAACUGCACGCACCGUUGACCACAACAUCUGUCGUUUUCACUGAUGCAGAGUUUGGUUUUACCUUUGCAGCACAGUUUGCACGGCAAGAGACAGGAGAUGAUAAAGUACAUAAGAUGGAUACAGAUGGAAGAGACCCGGCCCGAUUUCAGUUGGGGGGCACAAAGUUCCCAUGCUGUGCCUUGGUAGCAUAUGAUGCAUGAGAAUCCACCACGAGCAGCAAAGAGUUAUGCUUGUCUGCCUGGGCCCAAGGUGAGGCCCGGCCUGACCCAGUUCACCAUCCCAGGUGGAAACCCUAAUGAGCUCAUCAGGCCUAACGAAGCUUAACAAGCUUCUAAUUGGCAGCGUUAUGAUGUCCCCGAAGGUCAGAGUGCAGGAUCCUGUGCCAAGAGCAGGAAAGGCUUUCACUUCCUGCCAAGAGCAAUCAUGUGACUGACUAAUAUCCCUUUGUGUAAACAAAGUCGGGAAAGGGCAAGAGGAACUUCUUACAUAAGCAAAAAGUGGAGUGUGGUAGCUUACAGAGAAGUUGUGGUGAGGUUUGACAACAAAGCUGCAGCCUCACAAGUGGAAAACAAAGACGUAGAAAAAUAUCACCGGUAUAAAUCAUGCUUGACAGUGUAAUCUAAUACAAGAGAGAAUAUCGUCGCCUAUAACUUUACAGAUUAUAAAAUAAAAAACAACAAACAUAUAAAAAUUUACUACCAGUAAAUAACAAGCAGUUAUAAAAGUUUGAUCGGAUACAGAAAUCUCACUUUUUCCUUUAGCAAUCAAAAAAAAACAAAAACAAAAAAAAGAGCAGAGGCUGUUCGGGUGCCUGACAAACAUUUCUGUGGUGAAAUGCUGCCACCUACUGGUCACUAUGCACAGAUACAACGUCAAAAAAAUCAGUCCACUGAAAGAAAGAAAAAACGAAUUUCCACAUUAUGGCAUAAUUGAGAUAAAAUUAAAACAUGCCAUCUGCUAUAUUUAAGAAUACACAACCCCAAUAAACCAGAAAAUAACCACAUCACACAGUUAUGAAGACAGAGUGCACGAUGUACACGAUGUAUAUAUUUUCACUAAUGAUGUAACUACAAGGUUAGUGAUGGAAACAUGGAGGGGGGGUUAUUGCAGCAAUGACAAACCACACAAAUAAUAUCAGAAAAUGUACUUUAAAAAAAAAAAAAA